rnacentral:misc_RNA from 1 species
CCAAAAGUAUUAAAAUAGAUGAUGACAAUGAUGAUUUACCCAGAGUAUCUAACCAAUUAACUUAAUGAUUUACCCAGCAUCUAAUCAAUUAACUUCAGGAUGGAAUUCGCUCUCAUUUUAUCCUCAUCUUUCUCUUAUUUUGACCUUUGCUUCAGUUCUGUGUUCCUAAAUUGAGAUAGUUGGGGAUUUGAAUUCUGCCA